ACUAACAGCAGCUGUGGUAUAACUAACAGCAGUGUGUACUAACUAACAAGCUGUGGUAUAAAUAACAGUAGCUGUGGUAUAACUAACAGCAGCUGUGGUGUAACUAACAGCUGUGGUGUAACUAACAGCUGUGGUGUAACUAACAGCUGUGGUGUAACUAACAGCUGUGGUUGUAACUAACAGCUGUGGUGUAACUAACAGCAGCUGUGGUGUAACUAGCCUGUGAUUUGAUGUUCAUUUCCUACUCAGUUCAAAGUACCACAGCUCAUUGUAACAGCGGACAGGAAGUGCACAGAGGACAGGAAGUGCACAGAGGGAGAAAAAGCCUUUAACACAGAGGAUUUGUGUUCCACAGUGGUGCAAUAACAACGGGGAUUGCUACUGUAGUUGUGUUGUUGUUUUAUUUACAUACAAAAAAACAACAAACUGAAUCCUCCUCCUAGUUCCGAGAUGAGGUAGAAGAUACACAGGUUUAAUCUAACAGUUGAAACGUCUCUAAAGGAUAAAAUAUUAUAUUAAAUUCUGCUCUGUCACACCUCACUUGGUUUCAAACCCCUAUGUCAUGUUGUUGUAAAUCACAACAUAGAACUAUAGACAGUUGUAUAAAUCACAACAUAGAAUCUAUAGACAGUUGUUAUAAAUCACACAUAGAAUCUAUAGACAGUUGUUAUAAAUCACAACAUAGAAUCUAUAGACAGUUGUUAUAAAUCACAACAUAGAAUCUAUAGACAGUUGUUAUAAAUCACAACAUAGAAUCUAUAGACAGUUGGCACUAAACCCCUAUGUCAUGUUGUUAUAAAUCACAACAUAGAAUCUAUAGACACACGGCAGGGUGAUAAAGACACUGGGCUGCUGAGGACAUCAGAUGCACCAGACACUGGACAUACAUCACAUUACUCUAGACUACUGUUCUGUCAGUUCAGACACAACGGAGCUCUAGUUAUUCCCGUAGCAGGGAUAGAAUGGAGACUAAAAGCUGGCACUUUUGUUUGUAGGAGCAACCCCAGGUGAUCUGGGACAUAACAAGUUGAUAGAGCUGAAGAUUCUGUGUUGCAGUUUCUUUAACCUUUUGGAUCAAUUUCUCUUCAAAUGAAUAUAUCAGCUUCGAUUUUCAUGUUUGUGAAAAAACAAGUAUCAUAGUGUGUGAUCUGGUGAACUGACCUUUCACAUUCAAACUGACCCCUGACCCUGACCCCUGUGAGAGAUGACAUCAUCCAAACUCGUCCUGUACUAGACGCAAAACACAGACCAGGUGUGAGAACACAGACAAACAAAGAGAUAGCUUUGUAGCUAACGACGACACCUCACCUGGAGCACUGGAGGCUGGUGGGAGGCGGGAGAUAUCGGAGGACGGGCUCACAUUGUUAACAGCUGGAAUGGGAUAAAACGGAGCGGUAUGAAAACGCGUGACGACUGAGCCGUGUCAAUUUAACUACAUCUCCACCCACCAGCCUCCACUGACCCGUAACCAAGGUAACCAACAUGUCCAUCUAUAGAAGACAAGUCAUCGGGGUGUGAGGUAAAGCUACAAUACAAAACCAAUGAGAAUAACAUCACUAGCUAACUAAAGAUACAUGUAACAGUGAUUAUGCCAGUCACUUCUGAGUGGUCAGUCGGGCUUGAUGUUUCCAUAUAGUGCCAUGUGUGAAUACAUUAUAAUUACAUGUUAAUGGAGUAAAUUGAAAACCUGUAUUUAAAAUUAAAAAAAAAAA
rnacentral:lncRNA from 1 species